rnacentral:rRNA from 1 species
ACUGUAGGUGAAAGCUUACAUCUCUUCGGUAGCAUUUUACGAGGUGCUGCAUGGUUGUCGUCAGCUCGUGCCGUGAGGUGUCGGGUUAAGUCCCAUAACGAGCGCAACCCCUACCUUUAGUUGCCAUCAGGUAAUGCUGGGGACUCUAAAGGAACUGCCUACGCAAGUAGUGAGGAAGGCGGGGAUGACGUCAAAUCAGCACGGCCCUUACGUCCAGGGCUACACACGUGCUACAAUGGCCGAUACAGAGGGCAGCUACCUGGUGACAGGAUGCAAAUCUCCAAAGUCGGUCUCAGUUCGGAUCGGAGUCUGCAACCCGACUCCGUGAAGUUGGAUUCGCUAGUAAUCGCGCAUCAGCCAUGGCGCGGUGAAUACGUUCCCGGGCCUU